UUGGAGGGCAAGUCUGGUGCCAGCAGCCGCGGUAAUUCCAGCUCCAAUAGCGUAUAUUAAAGUUGUUGCAGUUAAAAAGCUCGUAGUUGAAUUUCGGGGUUCAUCCGUUGGUCGGGCUUUUUGGUCUGUACUGGCGUGAUGGAUUCCUACCUUCUGAAUAACCAGCAUGUCAUUAAUUUGGUGCGCUGGGGAAGCAGGACUGUUACCUUGAAAAAAUUAGAGUGCUUAAAGCAGGCUAUCGCCUGAAUACAUUAGCAUGGAAUAAUGAAAUAGGACGGCAUGGUUCUAUUUUGUUGGUUUCUAGGAUCACCGUAAUGAUUAAUAGGGAUAGUUGGGGGCAUUAGUAUUCAAUUGUCAGAGGUGAAAUUCUUGGAUUUAUUGAAGACUAACUUCUGCGAAAGCAUUUGCCAAGGAUGUUUUCAUUAAUCAAGAACGAAAGUUAGGGGAUCGAAGACGAUCAGAUACCGUCGUAGUCUUAACCAUAAACUAUGCCGACUAGGAAUCGGACGAUGUUAAUUUUUUAAUGACUCGUUCGGCGCCUUACGGGAAAC
rnacentral:rRNA from 1 species